AUUGAACGCUGGCGGCAGGCCUAACACAUGCAAGUCGAGCGGAGCGGCGGACGGGUGAGUAAUGCCUAGGAAUCUGCCUGGUAGUGGGGGAUAACGUCCGGAAACGGGCGCUAAUACCGCAUACUAUCAGAUGAGCCUAGGUGGGAUUCGCUAGUUGGUGGGGUAAAGGCCUACCAAGGCGACGAGCCGUAACUGGUCGGAGAGGAUGAUCAGUCAAACUGGAACUGAGACACGGUCCAGACUCCUACGGGAGGCAGCAGUGGGGAAUAUGGCACAAUGGGCGAAAGCCUGAGCCAGCCAUGCCGCGUGUGUGAAGAAGGUCUUCGGAUUGUAAAGCACUGUAAGUGGGGAGGCGUUACCGACAGAAGAAGCACCGGCUAACUCCGUGCCAGCAGCCGCGGUAAUUC
rnacentral:rRNA from 1 species